rnacentral:rRNA from 1 species
UGGGGAAUUGUUCGCAAUGGGCGCAAGCCUGACGACGCAACGCCGCGUGGGGGAUGAAGAUCUUCGGGUCGUAAACUCCUGUCGAGCGGGAAGAAUAGUUUCGGCGUGAAUAGCGCCGGGACCUGACGGUACCGCUAAAGGAAGCCCCGGCUGACUCCGUGCCAGCAGCCGCGGUAAUACGGGGGGGGCAAGCGUUGUUCGGAAUUACUGGGCGUAAAGGGCUCGUAGGCGGCCAACUAAGUCGGACGUGAAAUCCCCAGGCUCAACCUGGGAACUGCGUCCGAUACUGGAUGGCUUGAAUUCGGGAGAGGGAUGCAGAAUUCCAGGUGUAGCGGUGAAAUGCGUAGAUAUUCGGAAGAACACCAGUGGCGAAGGCGGCCCACUGGACGUGUAUUGACGCUGAGGUGCGAAAGCGUGGGGAGCAAA